rnacentral:rRNA from 1 species
AACGCUGGCGGCAGGCUUAACACAUGCAAGUCGAGCGCCCCUCCUUCAAGCAAGCUUGAAGGUCCUUUGGCCGAAGGCCAGGAAAGAGGAUCAAGAAAGCCGAGCUUUCUUGAUGGAGGGGAGCGGCAGACGGGUGAGUAACGCGUGGGAAUCUACCUAGCUCUACGGAAUAACCCAGGGAAACUUGGACUAAUACCGUAUACGUCCGAGAGGAGAAAGAUUUAUCGGAGUUAGAUGAGCCCGCGUUGGAUUAGCUAGUUGGUGGGGUAAAGGCCUACCAAGGCGACGAUCCAUAGCUGGUCUGAGAGGAUGAUCAGCCACACUGGGACUGAGACACGGCCCAGACUCCUACGGGAGGCAGCAGUGGGGAAUAUUGGACAAUGGGCGCAAGCCUGAUCCAGCCAUGCCGCGUGAGUGAUGACGGCCUUAGGGUUGUAAAGCUCUUUCAACGGUGAAGAUAAUGACGGUAACCGUAGAAGAAGCCCCGGCUAACUUCGUGCCAGCAGCCGCGGUAAUACGAAGGGGGCUAGCGUUGUUCGGAAUUACUGGGCGUAAAGCGCACGUAGGCGGAUACUUAAGUCAGGGGUGAAAUCCCGGGGCUCAACCCCGGAACUGCCUUUGAUACUGGGUAUCUAGAGUAUGGUAGAGGUGAGUGGAAUUCCGAGUGUAGAGGUGAAAUUCGUAGAUAUUCGGAGGAACACCAGUGGCGAAGGCGGCUCACUGGACCAU